UGCUUCUGACAGAUGGGAGCUGUGUGU
rnacentral:piRNA from 1 species